AAUUCUGUCGCUUCUAUUUGUCUCAGAAACCCCCUGCCUCUCUGCUCAUGUUUCUCUCUCUGCCCCCGCCGCCCCAAGAAAAGCAUCUCGGGUGAGGAGGCGGCGAGGGUUUGGGCCUCCUGCUCCGACCUCGGCGGCGCCGACGAGCUCGCGCCCAAGAUUCCUCAUCGGCGCAGGUGGUAAAUUUUGUGCUCAGCCAAGCAAGAAGGCACAAGGUUAUACCAAUACAGUCAUUGUGCAGAAAAAAGGAAGACCAUGUAGUGUGGGGAAUCAUUCAUAUCUGCAAUGGGUACAAAAAGGGUCAUGCAUGGGUGAGCUAGACAAACAACGUGGAUCCCUAUUUCCGUUGAGGUACUAAAUUCCUGAAUCAGGAAAACUCGGUUACCUAAAGAGUUGGUUCAUGUGUUCUGUUCGUGUGCGCGUGAUAACACACUACAAUGUUACAGUAUGUGCUAUAUUUUAAAAGUAAAAUUUUGAACUGUAUGUUCUGUGACAAUGAUGUGAUGCUUCCAAGCAAAGUGGCCAGUUAAUUAGAAUGUAGUGCCCUGUUGUUCC